GAUGAAGAACGCAGUAAAAUGCGAUAAGUAAUGUGAAUUGCAGAAUUCAGUGAAUCAUCGAAUCUUUGAACGCACAUUGCGCCCGCCAGUACUCUGGCGGGCAUGCCUGUCCGAGCGUCAUUUCAACCCUCAGGGCCCUCCAGCAGGGCGCUGGUGUUGGGGAUCGGCAGUCCCAGCGGCUGCCGUCCCUGAAAUGUAGUGGCGGUCCCACCGUGACCUCCCCUGUGCAGUACAUCGCUCGCAGAGGGACAGCGGUGCGGCCACGCCGUAAAACGCCCAACUCUUCAAGGUUGACCUCGGAUCAGGUAGGACUACCCGCUGAACUUAAGCAUAUCAAUAAGCGGAGGA
rnacentral:misc_RNA from 1 species